CCUACGGGAGGCAGCAGUGGGGAAUUUUGCGCAAUGCUCGGAAGAGUGACGCAGCGACGCCGCGUGAAUGACGAAGUCCUUCGGGUCGUAACGUUCUUUCGACAGGGAAGAAAAUGCCAAUAAGUAAUGGUGUAUGUAUUGACGGUACCUGAAUACGUAGCAGCGGCUAAAUUCGUGCCAGCAGCCGCGGUGAUAUGGGGGGUGCGAGCGGUGUACGGAGUGUUUGGGGGGAAAGGGCAAGUUGGAGGUGUUAGAAGUCAUUAGUCAAAGAAUAGGGGUCAAACUUAGUAAGGCUAGUGAUACUAUAAUGCUAGAGUAUCACAGAGGAUAGCAGAACUCCUGGUGUAGCGGUGAAAUGCGUAGAUAUAAGGAAGAAUACCAGUAGCGAAGGCGGCAAUCUGGCUGGAAACUGACACUGAGGUACGAAAGCGUGGGUAGCAAACAGGAUUAGAUACCCGUGUAGUC
rnacentral:rRNA from 1 species